GACGUAGGGUCCAAGCGUUGUCCGGAUUUACUGGGCGUAAAGAGCGCGUAGGCGGCUCGUUAAGUGUGGUGUGAAAUCUCCAGGGCUCAACCCGGAAACUGCACCGCAUACUGGCGAGCUUGAGGAAUGCAGAGGUAACUGGAAUUCCUGGUGUAGCGGUGAAAUGCGUUGAUAUCAGGAGGAACACCCAUGGCGAAGGCAGGUUACUGGGCAUUAUCUGACGCUGAGGCGCGAAAGCGUGGGUAGCAAACAGGAUUAGAUACCCUGGUAGUCCACGCCCUAAACGAUGGAUACUAGACGUAAGAGGUAUCGACCCCUCUUGUGUCGCAGCUAACGCACUAAGUAUCCCGCCUGGGGAGUACGGCCGCAAGGUUGAA
rnacentral:rRNA from 1 species